rnacentral:rRNA from 1 species
UACGUAGGGUCCAAGCGUUAUCCGGAAUCACUGGGCGUAAAGCGUACGUAGGCGGUUCGUUAAGUGAGAUGCGAAAUCUUGUGGCUCAACCAUAUAGAUGUUGUCUCAUACUGGCGAGCUUGAGGAUGGCAGAGGCAAGUGGAAUUACUAGUGUAGCAGUGAAAUGCGUAGAUAUUAGUAGGAACACCAAUGGCGAAGGCAGCUUGCUGGGCCAUUUCUGACGCUGAGGUACGAAAGCGUGGGGAGCGAACAGG